CUACGGGGUGCACCAGUGAGGAAUAUUGCACAAUGGGGGGAACCCUGAUGCAGCAACGCCGCGUGGAGGAUGACGCAUUUCGGUGUGUAAACUCCUUUUAUAUGUCAAGAAAAUGACGGUAGCAUAUGAAUAAGCACCGGCUAACUCCGUGCCAGCAGCCGCGGUAAUACGGAGGGUGCAAGCGUUACUCGGAAUCACUGGGCGUAAAGGACGCGUAGGCGGGUUGGAAAGUCAGGUGUGAAAUCCUACAGCUUAACUGUAGAACUGCACUUGAAACUUGUAAUCUAGAGUGUGGGAGGGGGAGAUGGAAUUAGUGGUGUAGGGGUAAAAUCCGUAGAUAUCACUAGGAAUACCUAAAGCGAAGGCGAUCUCCUGGAACAUUACUGACGCUAAGGCGUGAAAGCGUGGGGAGCAAACAGGAUUAGAUACCCCCGUAGUC
rnacentral:rRNA from 1 species